CAGUCCUGCUCUCUCUCUCUCUCUCAUUCUCCACGUGUGGGGACGGGUGUCAAGCAUCCUGAAAAAGACCCGAGGACCGGGUGGUGGAACGCUGCUGCAGACCUGGACUAUUUUCACUGGAUUCUGAGUGAGCGAGUGCAGAGCUCAAACUCCCAACUUCGAAGGAGAGGAUGUAGGCCUGCAGUGUGGUUGCUGAUUUCUCUGGGAGCUUGAUGAAGCUCAUUCUGGGAAAGAUGAAAAAAACCUGGAAGCCGGAAUCAACUGCUUCUAGAACUGCUGCUGCCAGGUCAUGUUCACUGUGCCAUCGUGACAGUCGUGCUGAGGAGUGAAGCCACGGGCAUCUUGCAAACUUGGAGCUGUGUCCUGGGAGACUUCUACUUGCCCUUUGAAGAUGGGAAGAGGGGCAGGUGUGUAUUGGUUCAACAUAAGUGGCUGCUCCAGGCUUUGAACAUCUUCAGUGAAACUUUGUUGUGAGAAAUUCUUCCUUCACCUCUCCGUUAAAGUAUGGAAACCCCAAAUGAAUUGGUGGAAAGCUCAGAAGACAACUCUUCUGACAGGAGCCACUAUUUCAAGAGAGUUGAAAGGAUAUGGCUUUUUAGCAAGGAGAAAACUGAAUGGGGCUUCAAACAGAUAUUCCUGAAGAAAGGUAGCUGGACAAGACUUUAGAAGGAAAGAGAAUACAGCUGUGAGAACUCCCCUCUUCACCUUGGCUGAGGAACUCUCCAAGAGAGCAGAUGGUUCUGAGUUUCAAGCCAUGAAUCACUGUCAGGGGAUCUCCUCAAGCUGCCACAAGCAAGAAGAAUUGACAAUUCUCAAUGGGUAAUAUUUUUAGUACUAUUGGUGUCAGUCAUGUCCAUGCCCUUGCUGCUGGGAUCAGGCUUAAUAUUAAUAAGGCUGUAACUUGGAAACAACAUAGCAAGAGUCAGCAAAGUAUUUCUAUUUAUUAUCUAAUGGAUGUUUCAGGACCUUAGCAUUCCUCUCUUUAGAGUUCGUCAGUGAAGAGAGUAAGAGAUCAUUUCUUUAUUUUUAUCUGAUUUCAAAGCAGACUGACGGGAAAAUAUUUGCUAUGUUUUGGUGCCUCAAUUAGCUAAUUUUUGAAAGCCAUUGUUACUAAUAUUAUUGGUUGGUUGUAACGUGUGAUCUAAAUCUGUUACUUUCUUAUAUGUAGUUAGAUAAGUGAGAGUUUGAUUUUGACCUGGAUUAUAAUAUUUUUCAUUCUAAUGCUGUGGUUUUUAUAGGCAUAAAUGCUAUUUGGAGGAACCGUGCUGAAUUAAUUUGACUCUAUUAGGAAAUCUUGGAUAAGUGGAUUCUUCAUCUAAGGUAGAACUAAAUCAAAUUGGCUCUCUCUGUUAAAACUCUAAUAUACUUUUUUGGUAUUGAUUAGACUAUAUUUCAGUUACAUUAGGUACUUUAGCUAAAGUCACUUUGGGUAGCUUUAGCUGGAAUUUUACCUGGAAUAUCGUGGCUACUUUUUGUAGAAUAUAAUGAUUAGAAUAUGCUUCAGUGAUCAUUUUUUAACAUUUUCAAUUGCAAAAUAUCUUGGGCCAUUAGGUUCCAAAACCAGAAAUCUAGUAGAGCACAAAAGUGGUCUGAUGCAAAGGGUUUUUCAUAUUGUGGAAAAGUUAAUAUGAGAUGGAUUCCAAGUAUCUGCAGUGAAAGAGAGAAGGGCUGUUUCAGAAAGCACACUCACUUUUCACUUCUGCAGAAUUUAGUCUGGGAAGCAGCUUCAUGAUGAGUUCUUUGGAGAGCAUUACUUUUUCUGACAUGAAAGGUGGCAUGGUCAAGUGCAGAAAGCUGGGGAUUUGAGUUGGCCAGAUCUUUAAGCCAUGCGACCAGUUAUGAAUGUCUUUGAAGCACUUUCCUUAACUAUAAAGGGGAGAGAAUACUAUGUACAUCAGUAGUGUGCAGUUUUAUUGUGAGGAAGAAAACCAGGAAGCUGGAGUCCUUGGAUUCUAUGUGGCAUGUGGUGGGCACUCAAUAAUAGUAGCUAUCGUUGGUGUUUCCUCAUUGUAGUGAUGGCUAACUCAACCUUUGUCAUUUAAAUACCUAUAUAAUGUGCUCAAGAGAAAAAAGUGCAAAGUUAAGCAUAUGAAAGGUGAAAUCAAAGCAGAAAAAUAUCAGCAUUGGAUGAAGUAUUUAGAAAACAGGUUUCUUGACCUGGCUCUAUCACUAUUGAAUAUCAUUACCCAUAGAAGCCUCACUAAUCCUUUCUGUACCUCAGUGUAAUGUGUACAGUGAGGAAACAGAAUUAGAUUAGUUAUCAGUACUGUGCUCUGAAAACACUGAUAUUGAAAAUUAUUCCUCAAAUGAAAGUUCCAUGUUAAAAUAAAUUUAGAAAAAAAUAUUGGAUAUAUUAGAAUCCUCUUGGAAAUUUACCUUGCUCAUUAGCAUAUUAAAACUAGUAUAAUAAGUAUGGCUUUGAUAAAGAAUUAUGUUGAUCUUGGUAUAACUCAAUUUCCCACAUCUGACAAGGGUAGCCCUUAUUCAUGGAAAAAAAAUCUUAUGGAGCCCUUUCACAUAACUUAAUUUGGAAGGUGUAUGCAGGAUAUUUUCUAUGGUCCCUUGUAAUUCUAAUAUUUUGCGACUCUGUAGCUGAGUAACGUCCCUGAAGAAACAUAUUGGUAAUGGUUUAGAAAGAGUAUGACUUUUAAAAUUUCAUUUUAGGUGUUCCCACUGUGGCUCAGCAGGUUAAGAACCCGACAUAGUCUCCAAGAGGAUGCAGUUUCAAUCCCUGGCCUUGCUCUGUGGGUUAAGGAUCCAGCAUUGCCAUGAGCUGCAGCCUAGGUCACAGAUGCAGCUCAGGUCCAGUGGUGCCGUGGCUGUGGCAAAGACCUCAGCUGCAGUUCCAAUUCUACUCCUAACCUGGAAACUUCCACAUGCUGUAGGUAUGGCUGUAAAACAGAAAAAAAUAAAUACUUUAUAUUGAAAAAUAAUUUAUUAUUAUACCAAGAGAGGAAAUCACCUUGUAAAUUAAGGCUAGCUUUAUGAGUGAAAUUUUAAGUUUUUGCAUAGAUGACAUGGGUUUACAGAGAAGAGGAACUGUCCAUUAAUGUUUUAAUUUUCCUUCAGUGUGUGAAUUAAAUUGACCUCAAUAGCACUUGCCAAUUGAUUGCACAUUCUCUACUCUUACAGAAGGUAUUUAUUAAAAAUAUGUAGACAUAAAAUCCCCCACAGUAACUUAGUAUAUAUGGACAUAAAACAUAUGUACAUACUACUGCUAGAGGGUUUAAAUUUAUUCAUUGCGAUGGCACUAUUGAGUUUUCUUAAUUUAUACCACAUGUUCCUCCUUUAUUUAGCCUUUAAUUCUGUAAAGAGUGUGGGGAUAUAAAUUACACAGAGGAUGUGAAAUAUAAACCAUUCCAAUCAUGGGUGUGUGGCAUCUUCAAUUUGCUAGAAUAAUUUUCAUCUGUCAGUUUUUCAAAUAAUGGUAGGAAUCUCUCACUGAGCCUACAGAUUCAGUGCGUUUGUGGACAAAAUUUUUAUGUGGUCUCUCGCUGCUUCUUCCAGAAUGAGGAUGCUUCUGGGAGGAAGACAGGAGUUAUCACUGCCAAGAGAGUCGCAGGUUUCCCACAGAUUCUAUGGCACUUGGAAUUCAGAGCCUGGGUGUGCAGUUAUUUCCUCCUGAUCACAUAGGGCAUCUGAAGGAAGUCAUAACUACUGCAGGCUGUGGGUUGCCUUCCUGUGCAUAAUAAUGGCUGCCCUUCCCCCACAGCCCCAGUAGUCUUGGUAUAAUAGGGAAAAGGGGGAGUGAACAGUUGGAGACUGCUCUCUGUGGCUCCCCAUUCUCAUCUCCUUCAUCUAAUCAGUUAUUCAUCUCCUCCCAUUACACCUCUUAACCAUCUUUCAAAUGUUUCCUUGGGCUUGACUCUUGGCUCUACCAGCUACUAGCUGUGUGACUUUGGUCAGUUUUCUUAACUUCCUCCAUUGUGUUUCCUCAUCUACAAAACUCUCGUGUUGAAGAUGUAGACUGUAGGGGGAGAGCAGUGUAGUGGAUGAGAAGAAUUCAGUGAGAUCAUUCAUUGGAAUGCUUAGUGUGGAGUUUGGCAUAUAAAGAAUAUUCAGGAGAUACUUGCCAUCUUUAUUGUUUUUAUAGUUAGUUUAGAUUUUCGCUAUAUUUUGUACUUAUUUGUUGUUGUUUUUGGUCACACCCAUGGCAUGUAGAAGUUCUUGGGCCAGGGAUUGAAGCUGAGCCACAGCAGUGACAAUGCUAAAUCUUUAACUGAUAGGUCACCAGGAAACUCCAUAUAUUGUUUCUUAACUCAUCUCUCUGGCUCAUAAUCUCUUCUUCAUCUUUCCUAUUGCAUCUUCAUUAAACUUCAAGAAUGAUCUUUUAAAAUUGCAAAUCAAGUUGUCUAAGAAGUCUGCUGCUUGAAACUCUGUAAUGGUUCCCAAUUCCUUGUAGGAUGGAGUUCAAAUCCUUUAGCAUGACAGACUAUGUCUUCUGGGACUCCUUGUCCAACACCAAGAUUCAGCUAAUCCACUUGUAGGUGCAUUUUAAAAUACUUUCAUAAUUUUGCACAUACAUUUACCUCUGUCUUGAAUGUGUAAGUAACUUGCUCUAUGUCUUCCCUUCACAUGGCCACAUUCUGUCUUUCAAGACCCAGCUAUUGCAUCACUGAGGAGGAUUCAUUCUCCCUCUGUGCCAUGACUUUACUUCUUUCCAUUGCAACGCCUCCUGGGCUGAAUCACAGUUAUAUGGGUUCAUCUGCUUCCUUCUCUCCUGUGCUCUUGGAGGAAAAGCAAUGAUUAUAAUUCUCCCCUCCGUCCCAGUAUCAGAGAUGAUAGUUGGUAGAUGUUUGUUGAAUGACUGAAUGAAUGAGAGUUUUAUGGAACACUAUGUGCUUUCCCUCCUAAUCUCCAAAACAACAUUAAUGCACCCAAAGCACUUCACAUUUGGCAGACAGUAGAUUCUCAGUAAAUAAAUUUGACUUAACUAAUUUUUAUACACCUACUUAUGGCCUGUAAAGUAGAAGGAAAUUAGAAUCACUUGACCAAAAGUGUAAGAUGUGGUAAUAUUACUGAAUUAAAUACAAAAAGCUUGAAAAUAGGAUAAAGUCACUUUCUGCUAUCAUUUGAGGUCUAUUUUCUCUGAUUUUUUUGAUAUCAUAAUUUAAGGGUCAUAAUUCAUAAUUACUUAAAUAUAUGAAGUGUACUUGCCAUUUUUUGAAAAGGUUAGUGCUAUCAUAGGAUGUGUAAAUCUCCUUUUAUGAAAAAGAUGACAAGCAAAAUUAUGAUCCAAGUCAAGGUCUUAUAAAACAUUGACUUGGAUGUGCUUGCUUUUAAAGUAAUUUUAGUUUAAUCCCUCAUUUGAGAUUCGGUCCUUAUUUAUGUACAAUGAUCAAGCUGAUCGUAUGUUUGAGUCGUUGAUGAAUGGACCAAUGGAAAUAAGGUCAAAUAUAGAAUUUUCUUCCCUUUGGAAUCACUGAAUAUUUUACACUCCACAUUACUGUUUUAUAGACUUUCAAUGACUAGAUAAAUAGGGCCCUAGGUUUUACAUUUAUGAAGAUAUUAAUAAAUGAGCAGAGAUAUGUCCAAAUUGCCUAGAGAAAAAGGCUGUAAAUGGAGACAUAACUAUGGGAAAUAUAGAAACAAAGAAACCUGCCCAACCCUAGUGAGCACUAGUGGCAAAAGAACAAAAUCAGCUUUGAUCAAGUCUCAGAUUUUGGAUUGGUUAGGAUGGAACCAAAACCUAAGCAGGAAAAAAACAACAACAACUGUUUUUCUGGGUAUUUUGCCAUGAUUCUCCCAAAUGUAUGGCAUUUUCCAAAAUUCACCUCUGCAGUUUUUCUAAGAGUGCACUUUUCUCUCCACGACACUUUUUUCCAUAUAAUCUUUGGAGGUUCUUUAAACCUGAAACUGUUGAUAAUGGACUAUUCUAUUGUACAACACUCUGUGGAGCCUACUAGAGUCUUCAGUCGGUUCUGGUUAAUGUAACACUGUGUUCCUGAAGCACUGGAUGACAGAAACUGCUCAUGUCAGUAAAGGUUGGCACAGGCCAAGCUAGAAAAUCUUCCGUAGGGUUUUGUGGAAUCCAUCAGUAUGACGUUUGCUACCCGUGGUUACCAUUUACAGAGAGUGGCAGAGAAUGCCUGAGUAACAGAAAAUAGGAAUGGCAACUCAGGUGAAGGAACAAUUGAAUUCAACUAUGGUGUUGGAAAAAGCUUGGGCUUUGGAGCCAAAUAACCCUGGGGCAGACUCCCAGGCCUUGGUCAAAGAUACUAAACACACUGACUUUCCGUUUUCUCUUUCCUUUCUAAAAUAAGGGUAAGAUGCCAAGACAGAUACUUUCAGGGCUUCACCUACAUCUCCUGAGUCCCUGUACAUGUGACUGACGGGUACAGGGGUAUGGAAGGAUGGUUUCCUUGUUCAUGGGGGGCACAUACCUAAACUUAUUCUUUGAGUUCCUCUGUGGGUCAAGCUAAAGCACCCUUCUGAGGGACUUGGCCUGAAAUCAUGCCUGUGGUUGGUUUCUUUCCUAUGCAUGUCCUGUUUUUUCUCCUCCUUUCCUGAUUUCUGAGAGCAAUUCCUUAAUACAUCAUUUGCAUGUAACUCUUCACCUCAACAUCUACUUGUGGGAACCCAACCUAAGCAGAUGUCUACUUUAGAAGUUUUUACUGUGGAUUAGAAACAACAGGUCUAGGUCUUCUGCCAGAAUAUAAAGAGAAACAUAAAUACUAAUGAUUAUUACUCUCUUAUUUAGUCUUAUUGAUUUUUUUCAUUUCUUCUUAUGUUUUCAUUCUGCCUAUCUCUGUGAGUAUUCACCUUUCAGAGAUUCAGUUUCUAAAAUCCUCAGUUGUAUAUACUUUUUAGGCUAGAAAAGUGAUUUCCAUAGCAAAUCCUAUGAGUGACCAUAUGUUCCUAUGCUGAUAAAUCUCUGGUAGUCUUGAAUCCACUGGCUGAUGAGCAUGCAAUUGAGGCAGUGGUAGUUGUUAAAUUAUUGUUUCAAUUCAGUGGCUAUGUUCUAUGGUGGCCACUGGUUAAGAAGAUAGGUUUUCAAGUCAGAUGGGGAGCUGGAUCUGAAUUUAUACACUUUCUGAGUCCCUUAAAAUGUGAGAUAUCUCUCAUGGGGAGCUGGAUCUGAAUUUGUACACUUUCUGAGUCCCUUAAAAUGUGAGAUAUCUCUCAAAGUCCUCAUAUUUUAAUCAAAUGAGAGCUCAGGGCCAUGCUUGAUAUGUGUUAAGUGCUAAACAGUUUUGUCAUUUUUUUCUCCAUUGUUACUACUGCUGUAUUUUACUUCCCUUCUAAUAUCCCCAUAGCAUAUUGCAUUCACGUUUUGAUGAGGUUCUUACAGAUAGGCUGCUAUUCCAAUAGGAAAUUCAUUCUCUGUCCAGUGUGUUUAGUGACCUUCUAUAAAAGGAAACAUUUUUUGGUUUGUUUUGUUUUUAGCUAAUAGAUACAUUUUUGAAUCUCUCAGCUCUUAGUUAUUGAGUUACUGCAUUGUAGGAGAGGAAAAAUAAUUUUCCCUCUGCCAUUUGUAAUUCUUGUCUGAGAACCUUGAAAUAAAAGCCAGAUGAGCAAGAGAAAGAAAUUUAUUAACAUGAAUACCUCAGGUACACAUGGGAAAUAUCCAGGUUAAAGUGAGUAACUCAAAACGGUAGCUUAGAACUCCAGCUUAUAUAGCAUCUUUAACAAAGAACAAUCACUCUGUGGGGAAAUGGCAGGACAAAGGAAAGCAGUUUUAGGCUUUCAGGGGUGGAGGUCAAAGCAAGUUAGUAAGGUUUGCUACUUAGAUUCCUCUAAUGCCAUCGCUAGGCUAAUAGAUCUAAAGUUGUCUCCACUGAUUAACUUAUAAUUCUUCCUGAAAGAGGGGAGGAGGGAUACCUUUGUUAAUUUGCGUUCUUUUAGGCAAGUGGGGGAAGCAGGGGGCUCUUCAUGUGUCUGAUUCUUCUUAAUUGCUUUCAGCUCAAAAUAACGCUCUCCCAAAUUGGAAAAUUUGGGGGUGGCAUAUUCUGUGAUGCUUCAGUUUUUAGGGUCACAUCAAGAAAAAAGUUCAGCUUGCACUGACAAAUGCAUUACUGUAGUAAUGCCGUUAACCUAGAAUUUUGCGGAAUGCUAUGUAUAACUUCAUUAAAAAAAAGAGAAAGAAAAAAAAA
rnacentral:lncRNA from 1 species